UAGUCCACGCCGUAAACGAUGGGCACUAGGCGCUUGGGGGAGCGACCCCUCGAGGGCCGGCGCUAACGCAUUAAGUGCCCCGCCUGGGGAGUACGGCCGCAAGGCUGAAACUCAAAGGAAUUGACGGGGGCCCGCACAAGCGGUGGAGCAUGUGGUUUAAUUCGACGCAACGCGAAGAACCUUACCUAGGCUUGACAUGCACGGGAAACCCCUGAGAAACCAGGGGCCCUCUUCGGAGCCCGUGCAC
rnacentral:rRNA from 1 species